GAUGAACGCUGGCGGCGUGCCUAAUACAUGCAAGUCGAGCGAACAGACGAGGAGCUUGCUCCUCUGACGUUAGCGGCGGACGGGUGAGUAACACGUGGAUAACCUACCUAUAAGACUGGGAUAACUUCGGGAAACCGGAGCUAAUACCGGAUAAUAUAUUGAACCGCAUGGUUCAAUAGUGAAAGACGGUUUUGCUGUCACUUAUAGAUGGAUCCGCGCCGCAUUAGCUAGUUGGUAAGGUAACGGCUUACCAAGGCAACGAUGCGUAGCCGACCUGAGAGGGUGAUCGGCCACACUGGACCUGCGACACGGUCCAGACUCCUACGGGAGGCAGCAGUAGGGAACCUUCCGCAAUGGGCGAAAGCUUGACGGAGCAACGCCGCGUGAGUGAUGAAGGUCUUCGGUUCGUAAAACCCUGUUAUUAGGGAAGAACAAAUGUGUAAGUAACGAUGCACGUCUUGACGGGACCUAAUCAGAAAGCCACGGCAAACUACUG
rnacentral:rRNA from 1 species